rnacentral:rRNA from 1 species
UACGUAGGGUGCGAGCGUUGUCCGGAAUUACUGGGCGUAAAGAGCUCGUAGGUGGUUUGUCGCGUUGUUCGUGAAAACUCACAGCUUAACUGUGGGCGUGCGGGCGAUACGGGCAGACUAGAGUACUGCAGGGGAGACUGGAAUUCCUGGUGUAGCGGUGAAAUGCGCAGAUAUCAGGAGGAACACCGGUGGCGAAGGCGGGUCUCUGGGCCGAAACUGACGCUGAGGAGCGAAAGCGUGGGGAGCGAACAGG